rnacentral:rRNA from 1 species
UACGUAGGAGGCGAGCGUUGUCCGGAAUUACUGGGCGUAAAGAGCUCGUAGGUGGUCUGUUGCGUCCGCUGUGAAAACCCAGGGCUUAACCCUGGGCUGGCAGUGGAUACGGGCAGACUAGAGGUAGGUAGGGGAGAAUGGAAUUCCCGGUGUAGCGGUGAAAUGCGCAGAUAUCGGGAGGAACACCGGUGGCGAAGGCGGGUCUCUGGGCCGAUACUGACGCUGAGGAGCGAAAGCGUGGGGAGCGAACAGG